GACGAACGCUGGCGGCGUGCUUAACACAUGCAAGUCGAACGAGAGGAGAAGGAAGCUUGCUUCUUUCAAAUCUAGUGGCAAACGGGUGAGUAACACGUAAACAACCUGCCUUCAGGAUGGGGACAACAGACGGAAACGACUGCUAAUAUCGAAUACGUUCCUUAGGUCGCAUGACUUUAGGAAGAAAGGGUGGCCUCUACUUGUAAGCUAUCGCCUGAAGAGGGGUUUGCGUCUGAUUAGGUAGUUGGAGGGGUAACGGCCCACCAAGGCGACGAUCAGUAGCCGGUCUGAGAGGAUGAACGGCCACAUUGGGACUGAGACACGGCCCAGACUCCUACGGGAGGCAGCAGUGGGGAAUCUUCCGCAAUGGGCGCAAGCCUGACGGAGCAACGCCGCGUGAGUGAAGAAGGUCUUCGGAUCGUAAAGCUCUGUUGAGAGGGACGAGAGAUAUAAUCAGGAAAUGGGUUAUAGAGGACGGUACCUUUCGAGGAAGCCACGGCUAACUACGUG
rnacentral:rRNA from 1 species